rnacentral:rRNA from 1 species
UUCCGGUUGAUCCUGCCGGACCCUACUGCUAUCGGGAUAAGACUAAAACAUGCUAGUUGCCCUAGCUAUGUGGGGCGAACGGCUCCGUAACACGUAGUUAAUCUGCCCUUAGGACGGGAAUAACCCCGGGAAACUGGGGCUAAUACCUGAUAGGCGAGACUGUCUGGAAUGACUUUUCACUCAAAGAGCUAGGUGCCUAAGGAUGAGACUGCGACCGAUCAGGUUGUUGGUGGGGUAACGGCCUACCAAGCCUAUAACCGGUACGGGCCCUGAGAGGGGGAGCCCGGAGAUGGGAACUGAGACAAGGUCCCAGACCCUACGGGGUGCAGCAGUUGCGAAAACUCUACAAUGCACGAAAGUGUGAUAGGGUUAUCCCGAGUGCUGUCCGAUGAGGAUGGCUUUUCCUCGGUGUAAGGAGCCGGGGGAAUAAAGGGGGGGCAAGAUCUGGUGUCAGCCGCCGCGGUAAUACCAGCCCCCUGAGUGGUAAGGACGAUUAUUUGGCCUAAAGCGUCCGUAGCCGGCUUAGCAAGUCUUUUGUUAAAUCCAACGAUUCAAUCGUUGGACUGCGGGGGAUACUGUUUGGCUAGGGGACGGGAGAGGCCGACGGUAUUUUCGGGGUAGGGGUGAAAUCCUAUAAUCCCGGGAGGACCACCAGUGGCGAAGGCUGUCGACUAGAACGCGCUCGACGGUGAGGGACGAAAGCUGGGGGAGCGAACCGGAUUAGAUACCCGGGUAGUCCCAGCUGUAAACGAUGCGGGCUAGGUGUUGGGGUGGCUACGAGCCACUUCAGUGCCGCAGGGAAGCCAUUAAGCCAGCCGCCUGGGGAGUACGGCCGCAAGGCUGAAACUUAAAGGAAUUGGCGGGGGAGCACCACAAGGGGUGAAGCUUGCGGUUUAAUUGGAUUCAACGCCGGA